rnacentral:rRNA from 1 species
GGAGGGUUUCCGCCCUUCAGUGCUGCAGCUAACGCAUUAAGCACUCCGCCUGGGGAGUACGACCGCAAGGUUGAAACUCAAAGGAAUUGACGGGGGCCCGCACAAGCGGUGGAGCAUGUGGUUUAAUUCGAAGCAACGCGAAGAACCUUACCAGGUCUUGACAUCCUUUGACCACUCUAGAGAUAGAGCUUCCCCUUCGGGGGCAAAGUGACAGGUGGUGCAUGGUUGUCGUCAGCUCGUGUCGUGAGAUGUUGGGUUAAGUCCCGCAACGAGCGCAACCCUUAUUGUUAGUUGCCAUCAUUUAGUUGGGCACUCUAGCAAGACUGCCGGUGACAAACCGGAGGAAGGUGGGGAUGACGUCAAAUCAUCAUGCCCCUUAUGACCUGGGCUACACACGUGCUACAAUGGGAAGUACAACGAGUCGCGAAGUCGCGAGACUAAGCUAAUCUCUUAAAGCUUCUCUCAGUUCGGAUUGUAGGCUGCAACUCGCCUACAUGAAGCCGGAAUCGCUAGUAAUC